rnacentral:pre_miRNA from 1 species
AGCGAAAGAGCCGCGUUGACAACGGGUAUUCUUAGGUUAAUAAUACCAAACUGAGUUGUUAUUGCUUGAGAAUACACGUAAUCGACUGGUCUCUCCAAAC